GUAAAAGGAAAACUUGUAUCUUUUAAAUUUCUAUUUCUUUGUGAAGUUACACAUUUUACAUACUUCUUAGCUGUUUGUUCAUGUUUUUGGCCCUUUUUCCUCUUUUUUUUUUUUUGUCUUUAUGUUUAGAGUAAGCCUGUUUGUGCCUUCACUCAGAUACUACAUAAAUAGAAAAAAUUCUAAAAUGUUAAUUUCAGGAAUUUCAUGUUAGAGCUAUUUCUAAGUAGAUGAGGUCUUCUGACUUAAUUUCUGAAGUCCUGAAAAAGGGCUCAACAAGUUGUGGUCAGUUGGUGGGAUUUUUCUUAUUUCCGUCUUGGAAUAAGCUGGAAUUGGAUGGUCUCUAUAUGAAGAUCACACCCUAAUGCACGUGCUUAGCUGAUGAUUAGAAUGCUCUUUUGACAGGUAUAGUUUCUUUGUACUGUGUCCUGUUCUUUAUCAUUGCUUAUCAUUCAGUCUGGCUCUUCUUCCUCUUGAAUUUCAGAAGAGCCAGAAUAUUAAAGGUGCUCCUUUUGAGUAUUCUAAGUUAAACUGUCUUGAGUCGUGUUUGUAAUUUUACUUUUUUAAUCUCUAGAACACUUCCUCGUGGGUACUGUAUAACAUGGCUUCAUUUUACUGGAGAAUUAAGAAUGAGCCAUAUCAGGUAGUAGAAUGUGCCAUGCGAGCACUUCACUUCUCUUCCAGGCACAAUAAAGACAUUGCCCUGGUCAACCUGGCAAACGUUCUACACAGAGCACACUUCUCUGCUGAUGCUGCUGUUGUGGUCCAUGCAGCUCUGGAUGACAGUGACUUCUUCACCAGCUAUUAUACUUUGGGGAAUAUAUAUGCAAUGCUUGGGGAAUAUAACCACUCAGUGCUCUGUUAUGACCACGCUUUGCAGGCCAGACCUGGGUUUGAGCAAGCUAUAAAGAGGAAGCAUGCUGUCCUAUGUCAGCAAAAACUGGAGCAGAAAUUGGAGGCUCAACAUAGAUCUCUCCAGCGAACACUGAAUGAGUUAAAAGAGUAUCAAAAGCAGCAUGACCACUACCUGAGACAGCAGGAAAUCCUAGAAAAACACAAACUGAUUCAGGAGGAGCAAAUCUUAAGAAAUAUCAUUCAUGAGACUCAGAUGGCAAAAGAGGCACAAUUAGGAAAUCAUCAGAUAUGCCGACUGGUCAACCAGCAGCAUAGUUUACAUUGCCAGUGGGACCAGCCUGUACGCUAUCAUCGUGGAGAUAUCUUUGAAAAUGUGGACUAUGUUCAGUUUGGUGAGGAUUCAUCAACCUCCAGUAUGAUGUCUGUGAACUUUGAUGUUCAAUCAAAUCAGAGUGAUAUCAAUGAUUCGGUCAAGUCUUCUCCCGUAGCCCAUUCUAUUCUCUGGAUUUGGGGCAGGGACUCUGAUGCAUAUAGGGACAAACAGCAUAUUCUGUGGCCUAAAAGAGCAGAUUGUACAGAAAGCUACCCUAGAGUCCCUGUUGGUGGGGAAUUGCCAACGUAUUUUCUGCCUCCAGAAAACAAAGGACUCAGGAUCCACGAACUCAGCAGUGAUGAUUAUUCUACAGAAGAAGAGGCCCAAACCCCUGACUGUUCCAUAACUGACUUCAGAAAAAGCCACACUCUGUCCUACUUAGUCAAAGAAUUAGAGGUUCGCAUGGAUCUGAAAGCCAAAAUGCCAGAUGACCAUGCACGAAAAAUUUUGCUUUCCCGUAUUAAUAACUCUACUAUCCCAGAAGAAGAAAUUGGGUCUUUCUUAUUUCAUGCUAUUAAUAAGCCAAAUGCUCCUGUCUGGCUCAUACUCAAUGAAGCUGGACUAUACUGGAGAGCAGUAGGAAAUAGCACUUUUGCUAUUGCCUGUCUUCAGAGGGCUUUGAAUUUAGCUCCACUUCAAUACCAAGAUGUUCCUCUUGUCAACUUGGCCAACCUUUUGAUUCAUUACGGCCUUCAUCUUGAUGCCACUAAGCUGCUACUUCAAGCUUUGGCCAUCAAUAGCUCUGAGCCUCUGACCUUUUUGAGCCUGGGAAAUGCUUACCUUGCUUUGAAGAAUAUCAGUGGGGCACUUGAGGCCUUUAGACAGGCCUUGAAAUUAACCACCAAAUGCCCAGAGUGUGAAAACAGCCUGAAGUUGAUCCGCUGUAUGCAGUUUUAUCCUUUUCUGUACAACAUCACUUCUUCUGUUUGCAGUGGUAAUUGUCAUGAGAAAACCCUGGACAACAGCCAUGACAAACAGAAAUAUUUUGACAACUCACAGUCACUGGAUGCUGCUGAAGAAGAGCCCUCUGAGAGAGGAACAGAGGAGGACCCUGUAUUCUCUGUUGAGAAUUCAGGGAGGGACUCAGAUGCCCUUAGACUUGAAAGUACGGUGGUUGAGGAGAGCAAUGGUUCUGAUGAGAUGGAGAAUUCCGAUGAAACCAAAAUGUCAGAAGAAAUACUGGCUUUGGUGGAUGAAUUUCAACAGGCAUGGCCUUUGGAAGGCUUUGGGGGUGCACUAGAGAUGAAAGGGCGGCGUCUAGACUUACAAGGAAUACGGGUGCUGAAGAAAGGUCCCCAGGAUGGAGUGGCCAGAAGCUCUUGCUAUGGAGACUGCAGAAGUGAAGAUGAUGAAGCAACAGAAUGGAUUACAUUCCAGGUCAAACGUGUAAAGAAACCCAAAGGAGAUCAUAAGAAAACUCCUGGGAAAAAAGUAGAAACAAGUCAGAUAGAAAAUGGACAUCGUUACCAAGCAAACCUAGAGAUCACUGGCCCCAAGGUGGCAUCUCCUGGGCCACAAGGGCUGCUAGACUGGAAGACCAGGAAAGUGCCAUAGACAUAAUGUAACUGGAUUUCAGCAAGGCAUUUAACAGAGCCUCUUAUGAUAUCCUUGUGAACCAGAUGGAGAGAUGUGGGCUUGAAGCCUUCCCAUUGCCUACAGGAUAAAAUUCAAACUUCCUAGUGUGGUGUACAAGACCCUUUACAGCCCGCCUCUGUGUACCCUUCAACACCAUUCUCUGAACCAACCAUGCUCAUGUUUUUACCUCAGUGCCUUUGCACAUGCUGUUCCCUCUGCCUGGAAUGCCCUGUGCCCCCUCUGCCCUCUGCCGUGCUAAAAUAUCACUCAUCCUUAAACUUCAAAAUCAAGUGCCAUCUCUUCCUUGUUACCUUCAGGCAGAAUUAGUUACUCUUUCCUCUGUGCAAUUGUUCUAUAUCUUCGCUCUAGCUCUUUUCCUAUUGUAUUGUAAUGAUUUGUUUAUGUUUACCUUCCUUACUAGACUGUGAGCUCAAGAGCAGGCCGUCUUAUUAUUCCUGUCUGUACCCCUAGUGUCUUUUAUGGUUCUCAGCCCCUUAUAACAGGUGCUCAAUAAAUAUUUUUCAAAUGAAAUUAUUAAAUGUAAAAGAAAAAUUAGA
rnacentral:sRNA from 1 species